GACGAACGCUGGCGGCGUGCCUAAUACAUGCAAGUAGAACGCUGAAGCUUGGUGCUUGCACCGAGCGGAUGAGUUGCGAACGGGUGAGUAACGCGUAGGUAACCUGCCUGGUAGCGGGGGAUAACUAUUGGAAACGAUAGCUAAUACCGCAUAAGAGUAGAUGUUGCAUGACAUUUGCUUAAAAGGUGCAAUUGCAUCACUACCAGAUGGACCUGCGUUGUAUUAGCUAGUUGGUGAGGUAACGGCUCACCAAGGCAACGAUACAUAGCCGACCUGAGAGGGUGAUCGGCCACACUGGGACUGAGACCCGGCCCAGACUCCUACGGGAGGCAGCAGUAGGGAAUCUUCGGCAAUGGACGGAAGUCUGACCGAGCAACGCCGCGUGAGUGAAGAAGGUUUUCGGAUCGUAAAGCUCUGUUGUAAGAGAAGAACGAGUGUGAGAGUGGAAAGUUCACACUGUGACGGUAUCUUACCAGAAAGGGACGGCUAACUACGUG
rnacentral:rRNA from 1 species